AUCGUUGUGAACUAUUUUAAAAUUUUAAAUUUUUAAAUAAAAGUACCAAUUAAUAUUUAAAUGUUUUUAUCACCGCGUUUGGUUUCGAUUAAAAAAAGGACAUUUGCCAUCAAUUCGCAAUACUUUUCCCAUGGCAUCUUUACAGUACGACGUUUCUACCUUAAAAUCACUUAUUUCUUAUUUUUUUAUUCGAGCUUUGCGUACUUCAAUAGAAGUCUCGAAAGAGCCAAAAAGAAAUUUAAAUUUUUGAACACGUUGCGUGUGUCCUUUCCCAUUAGCUCCUUUUCAAGUGACAAUCUCAAAAGGCAAAAAGAAUGGGAAGAUAAAUCGAAUGCCUUCAUCAGUGGUCAGAUCAGAUCAGCUCUAAUUUCGACCAUGAAAAAGAAAGAAUCCCCCAUGAAGAUGAUGAUGAAGAAAAAUCGAAAACGGCCAAGACAGGACCAUUUGCGCAAGUUCUUUCGGACCACCCGUUCGACGCACGACAGAAACGGGAAAUCCGAGGUGAAAUCAGGGCAUCCAAUCAGCAUUUUGAGAUGAUGAACGAUGCCGUUCGGACCAACCCGCUCGACGCACGACAGAAACGGGAAAUCCGAGGUGAAAUUAGGGCAUCCAAUCAGCAUUUUGAGAUGAUGAACGAUGCCGUGCGAGCACAGGCCAUCCACGAGCUGAGAUCAAGCGUGGGUCUUCGUCCUUUAGAUGUCUCGUUGUGAGCUCCGCAUGGACCAUUUCCACGUGGCUUUGCAUAGAACAACAACCAAGCGACGCCCCAAGCUUCACAGUUUGUCUUUGACAGAGCAACACUCGGGACCAUAACGCUGUCACCCCCACUAAGCCUCAGUCCCGCAGUAGCACGAAUACAUCUAUAGAUCUUCGAGAGGCAUUUGCCCACCAGGAGAUCUUCAAGAUCGAUGCAUAGAAAGAUUUUUCUUUAGCAGCAUGCUUUAAACCAGUGAAAUUCAACAGUCCAAGCAACCACUAUAGUAGAGAUAUCUAGUCAUAAUAAAGUGGGCUUUUCUCCUCCUGAUGCACCUGUGGGCCUAAUGAUUGAGAACAGAUUGUCUUGUCAGAAGGAGAAACGAGAUAUGUUUGUGGUUUAAACCGUCCUUCCUUCUAGUUGGAUCAAACUCGAUGCUGGCGGGGGCCUAAAGACAACUCGACUCCAGCUUCAGUAGGUGGAUCUUAUCGUAAUGAAUUAGGCAAUUGGCUUGGCGGGUUUGCGCAAAUUAUGGGAGUGUGUUCUUCGCCCAAAGCAGAACUUUGGGAGCAUCUAUUUGGGUCUCAAAAUUGACAAUCUCAUUGGACAUUCGCAAACUUAACUCUCCUAAUUCAGAUUGGGAAAAUAUUAGAGUAUUUUCAAUAGGUAAAAAUCGUACAUACUUUUAGGGAAGGACACUCGUGUACAAAUUGGUUAACAGAUUGGAUAUUUCAGUCUUCCGAUGUAAAUGGCACUUUAACAUUAGAUAUGCCACCAAGAGGCUUACUUC